AUCUUAAGGUCUUUCUGGGGCUCUCAAACAGCACAGGCAGUGGGAAAGGGCAUGAAUCAGGAACUGAAAAAUCAGGUUCUAAUAUGAAGCGGCCAUGAGCCAGUCACUGCACAAUUUCUGCAACUACAUGUGAAUGAUGUUGUACUAGAAGGUCAGGAAAACAUAAGCUCCCAAAGUCAGAGUUCUAGAGACAUCGUCUCUGUUCUAAGGUCUCUCUCCAGCCCUGACAUCCCCUGUUUUAAGCCCCUCCCCACCCUGACAUCCCCUGUUUUAAGCUUCCUCCCAACUCUGACAUCCCCUGUUCUAAGCCCCCUCCCAACUCUAACAUCCCCUGUUCUAAGCUUCCUUCCCACUCUGACAUCCUUUAUUCUAAGGCUUUUCUCAACUCUGACAGUCUGUAAGUUAUAAGAACAGCUCACAGAUGUAUUAUCUGAAUAUGACAGGAGCAGGGACGCCCAAGUACUUCGCUCUCACCCAGAAGGCUCCAGGCCUCCAUUCAGCUCCCCCCACUUCAGGGGGUUCUUGGCCCUUUCUGUGUCCUGGCAUUCAACAAAUCCAGCCAGUCCCUCCCGAGGACAACAUUUGAAGUACACAAAACAAAACGCACAGGAUUACAAAGGACGGCAAAGUUUGAUUUCAACAAAAAAGAAAAAAAAAAAAAGAAAAAAGGUAAAAUGUCUUCCCAUUUCCAUUCCAGACCCUUUGGGGGUCCCUGGGCCUCAGGUUCCGAAUCUCUGCCCAAAGACAUAAAACAAACCUCUACCGUCAUGAUCACCCAGUGGGCGAGGGACAGGGAAGGGGGGCUGUGGUCCCCAGGGCAACAGGAGCCUUUUCCAGAUUUCUCCCUGAAGAAUCCUAACCGGCACCCACCCCCAGCCCGGCCCAAGGCCAAUCCUGGGCCACGGUCCAUGGGCCCCACAACAGAAGGAGUGUAUAGGAAGUGAAAAGCCUCUUUGAAGCUUGAGCCCUGGAAAAGGAGAACAGGCUCAGGUCUCCAAAGCAUCCGGACAAAGAGCCGGCCGGGGUAAGGAGACAGAGCGGCAAAGAGAGGCCUCGUGGCUGCCCCCCGACCCCCACGCCGGGGAAAAGCCACCCCCUCUGACGGGGAGAUACAAGGAGGCUUCUCGCCACUUGAUUGUGUGGGGCGAUUUUUAAAAACCUGGAGUCUGAGCAGCCUGGUAUAGGAAGAGAAGGUCAGUGCCCAGUAUGGGGAAGCCCGACAUAGGAGGAGAAGGUCAGUGCCCAGUAUGGGGGAGCCCGGUAUAGGAGGAGAAGGUCAGUGCCCAGUAUGAGGGAGCCUGGUAUAGGAGGAGAAGGUCAGUGCCCAGUAUGAGGGAGCCUGGUAUAGGAGGAGAAGGUCAGUGCCCAGUAUGAGGGAGCCUGGUAUAGGAGGAGAAGGUCAGUGCCCAGUAUGAGGGAGCCUGGUAUAGGAGGAGAAGGUCAGUGCCCAGUAUGAGGGAGCCUGGUAUAGGAGGAGAAGGUCAGUGCCCAGUAUGAGGGAGCCUGGUAUAGGAGGAGAAGGUCAGUGCCCAGUAUGAGGGAGCCUGGUAUAGGAGGAGAAGGUCAGUGCCCAGUAUGGGGGAGCCCGGUAUAGGGGACGUCACAGAUGUUGGAAGCUAGCCUGGGACCCAGUUCUACUUGGUAUCGACCCCCACUGUAUCCAGUUAACUCCCGAGAACACCAAGGGCCUCCUGGCUGGCUCAGGACCUUCCCUUCCAGACCUGCUCUCCGUUACCUUCUCUCCCAGCUUCUGUUUUUCUCUUCCAACAAGGAAGUUGAACUAAGUGCUCUUGAAAGUCUCAGCUCUAAUGUAUAAUAAUUUUGUGAACAAUAUGACAUGUUUAUCCCUGACAUUUAAUCUUCCCCCAAAAAAUCAGUAACAGAAGACAUUUUUUUCUUUGUACGACUAAAAUAAAAAUCAAGCCACGGAAGCACCGGCAGUUUCAGAAAGAACCAGAUGAUCUCUAAGAUCCCUCGGCUUAGACCCCGUCUGUCCACAUUUCCAACUUAGGAACACGCUCUGUGGGGCCUGGGCUCCCGGGUUAUUUCCACAGUCUUCCAAAACCACGUCAUCAUUUCCAGGCUCCCACGUGCCCUUUCUCCUCCACUCUUCAGAUGCUCAGAUGAAUGGAGAAGACCCUAGAGCUCAUUAGGCUCCAAAUGAGCCCAAACUAACAAGCUAAUGGCCCCUUGACCCACUUUGAAACAGCUCCACAAGCUCCCUUUGUCCAGAGAAAGCGCUUCCCCUCGUCCGAACGUGAACAAAAGCCGGUACGUCUGCUUCCUGAAGAUCUGCUCUGUGACAAAAGCCCAAGCGAUAGCUCCUCGAGGUUAAAUGAUCAUCCCUGAUUUAUCAAAAAUUCUCCUCACAGAGCGAUUUGGAACUCUGCUCAAAAAGUGAUCCAACUGUGCAUCCCCUCUGACCCAGCAAUGUUACUACUGAGCUUAUACCCCAAAGGGACUUAAAGAAGGGAAAAGGACCGACAUGUGCACAAAUGUUUGUGGCCUCUUUGUAGUGUCAGGAAACUGGAAAGUGAGUGGAUGCCCAUCAGGUGGGGAUGGCUGAAUAAAUUGUGGUCUAUGAAUGUUAUGGAAUAUUAUUGUUCUGUAAGAAAUGACCAGCGGGAUGAUUUCAGAAAGGCCUGGGGAGACCUACAUGUGCUGAUGCUGAGGGAAGUGAGCAGGAGAUCCUUAUAUACUACUAUAUGAUGAUCAAUUCUGAUGUUCGUGGCCCUCUUCAAUAAUGAGAUGAACCCAAUCAGUUCCAAUGGAGCAGUAAUGAACUGAGUCAGCUACACCCAGGGAAAGAACUCUGGGAGAUGACUAGGAACCACUACAUAGAAUUCUCCAUCCCUCUAUUUUUGCCCGCCUGCAUUUUUGAUUUCCUUCACGGGCUAAUUGGACACUAUUUCAGAGUCCGAUUCUUUUUGUACAACAAAAUAACUGUUUGGACAUGUGUACAUAUAUUAUAUUUAACUUAUACUUUAACAUAUUUAACAUGUAUUGGUCAACCUGCCAUCUCGGGGAGGGGGUGGGGGGAAGGAGGGGAAAAAUUGGAACAGAAGAUUUGGCAAUUGUCAAUGCUGUAAAAUUACCCAUGCAUAUAUCUCGUAAAUAAAAAGCCAAAAAAAAUUUAAAAAAAAAAAAAAAAGAAUUCUCCUCACAGCCAGACUGCAAGAAAGAUAGCGAAAAGCGGGAUUAUCCCCAUCGCACAGAUGAGAAAAAAGAGGCCCAGGUAAGAUGAAAUCAGUUCACCAAAAUUUGCAUUUAUUACUGCAACUUCUACAUCCCAGGAUGGUGUUAGAUUAAGCCACAAAUAAAGGCAAAAAUCAAUAGUCCCUGACUUUAAGAAACCCACUGA